UAUUAUUUUAUGUGUAAAUUUGUUAAAUUUGAGUAUUAUUAGUUAAUGUCUUGAAACUCAAAGAAUUUGGCGGUGUYUUAGUCUUUUUGGAGGAAUCUGUUCUGUAAUUGAUAAUACACGAUUGGUUUUACUUGAUUUUGUUAUCAGUUUGUAUAUCGCCGUCAUAAGAUUAUCUUGUUGAGAGUGAAAAAUUUUCUUUUUUUUUUAGUAAAGAGUAUGUCAGGUCAAGGUGCAGUUUAUAAUUAAGUAGAAAUGGAUUACAUUAAUAUUAAUUAUUAUGAAUAAUUUAUUUAAAUUUAUAUUUUGAAGGUGGAUUUAAUUGUAAAUUGAUAUUACAUUUAUUUAUUGAUUUUGGCUCUAGGAUGUGUACAUAUCGCCCGUCGCUCUCGUUUUAAAAUGAG
rnacentral:rRNA from 1 species